AGCGAACGCUGGCGGCAGGCCUAACACAUGCAAGUCGAACGAACUCUUCGGAGUUAGUGGCGGACGGGUGAGUAACACGUGGGAACGUGCCUUUAGGUUCGGAAUAACUCAGGGAAACUUGUGCUAAUACCGAAUGUGCCCUUCGGGGGAAAGAUUUAUCGCCUUUAGAGCGGCCCGCGUCUGAUUAGCUAGUUGGUGAGGUAAAGGCUCACCAAGGCGACGAUCAGUAGCUGGUCUGAGAGGAUGAUCAGCCACAUUGGGACUGAGACACGGCCCAAACUCCUACGGGAGGCAGCAGUGGGGAAUCUUGCGCAAUGGGCGAAAGCCUGACGCAACCAUGCCGCGUGAAUGAUGAAGGUCUUAGGAUUGUAAAAUUCUUUCACCGGGGACGAUAAUGACGGUACCCGGAGAAGAAGCCCCGGCUAACUUCGUG
rnacentral:rRNA from 1 species